GGCGGGGGAGAUCUCCCCAUAGGAAAGCAUUGAAAAUGCUUUCAAUGCUUUCCUAUGGGGGUUUCAGCGACACUGGAGGUCCUCACAUAGCGUGAGGACGUCCAGCGACGCUACAGCACAGAAAACCAGUGCUAUAAACCAGGAAGUGCCCUCUAGUAGCUGUCUAGUAGACAGCCACUAGAGGAGGAGUUAACCCUGCAAUGUAAAUAUUGCAGUUUAUGAAAACUGCAAUAUUUACAGUUGAAGGGUUAAGGGUAGUGGGAGUUGGCACCCAGACCACUCCAAUGGGCAGAAGUGGUCUGGGUGCCUGGAGUGUCCCUUUAAUGUGCUGGUGUCCCAAACUUGUGAGCUGUGUUGGCCACUGGGCGCCUCUGUUGUCAUGGCACCCUACGUGACCCCACAGCUUGCACACCUCAAAGGCUGGCUCUGCUGACAGACACACUGGCACUCACUCUCAAUAGCACACACACAAACCCUGGCAAACACUCACUGACAGGCAGACACAGACACACACACAAACCCUGACAGACAAACACUCACUGACAGGCAGACACAGACACAUACACACACACACACACACACACACAAACCCUGACAGACAAACACUCACUGACAGGCAGACACACACACACACACACACACAAACCCUGACAGACAAACACUCACUGACAGGCAGACACACACACACACACUCACUUCCAGACACACAUGCACACACUUCCA